UACGUAGGGUGCGAGCGUUGUCCGGAAUUAUUGGGCGUAAAGGGCUCGUAGGCGGUUUGUCGCGUCGGGAGUGAAAUCCACUGGCUUAACUGGUGGCUUGCUUUCGAUACGGGCAGACUGGAGGUAUGCAGGGGAGAACGGAAUUCCUGGUGUAGCGGUGAAAUGCGCAGAUAUCAGGAGGAACACCGAUUGCGAAGGCAGCUCACUAAGCCAAUAUUGACGCUGAGGCACGAAAGCGUGGGUAGCAAACAGG
rnacentral:rRNA from 1 species